UACGAAGGGGGCUAGCGUUGCUCGGAAUCACUGGGCGUAAAGCGCACGUAGGCGGAUCUUUAAGUCAGGGGUGAAAUCCCAAGGCUCAACCUUGGAACUGCCUUUGAUACUGGGGAUCUCGAGUCCGGAAGAGGUUGGUGGAACUGCGAGUGUAGAGGUGAAAUUCGUAGAUAUUCGCAAGAACACCAGUGGCGAAGGCGGCCAACUGGUCCGGUACUGACGCUGAGGCGCGAAAGCUAGGGGAGCAAACAGG
rnacentral:rRNA from 1 species